rnacentral:rRNA from 1 species
UAGGGAAUCUUCCGCAAUGGACGAAAGUCUGACGGAGCAACGCCGCGUGAGCGAAGAAGGUCUUCGGAUCGUAAAGCUCUGUUGUCAGGGAAGAACAAGUACCGUUCGAACAGGGCGGUACCUUGACGGUACCUGACGAGGAAGCCACGGCUAACUACGUGCCAGCAGCCGCGGUAAUACGUAGGUGGCAAGCGUUGUCCGGAAUUAUUGGGCGUAAAGCGCGCGCAGGCGGUCCCUUAAGUCUGAUGUGAAAGCCCACGGCUUAACCGUGGAGGGUCAUUGGAAACUGGGGGACUUGAGUGCAGAAGAGGAGAGCGGAAUUCCACGUGUAGCGGUGAAAUGCGUAGAGAUGUGGAGGAACACCAGUGGCGAAGGCGGCUCUCUGGUCUGUAACUGACGCGGAGGCGCGAAAGCGUGGGGAGCAAACAGG